rnacentral:lncRNA from 1 species
UGGUGGAGGAGACGUUCAUCAGAAACCAGGAGCCCAGGUCAGAAACCACAAUCCCAGAGCGAGAGUUAAUAAAGCAGAAAUGUAUUUAUUAGGCACCCUUGUUCCUCACAGAGGAGCAAGAUCCAGGCCUGAGCGCCUGGGAAGUCUCUUGAGGUUGCAGGAAUCUCCAGAGAAACAUAGGCGCUGCCCAGCCACCACCCCGAGAACACUAUUUGGCUGGAGUGCGACCGCCGAGGUGACCCUGGCAGGAGGCUGGGGUUGGCUCCUCGACUCCACAAACACUGAGGAGUGGGUGGGGACACCCAGGACACCCACCCAAACACUGGCAGAGAGGGAGGCCCUUCCAGAUCUGGGGCACAUGUUGCUGAGCCUGCCAGGGGGAGGAGGAGCCUGGAGAGUCCCUUGCCCGGGGCCAGGUCCUCAGGGCCCUCCCCAAAUCCGCCCGCCUCUCCUGGCCACUGCUGACUCAGUCCCACACGUAAGGGUUUCUAAAGACCUGAGAGUUCUUGCCGUCUUUCGGCGGUGUGGCCACCUGGUGGCUCUGGGCCGAGUACAUGUCUUCAGCCCGCAGGGUCGAGUUGGCACUGCCCAUCACCUGGCUGUUGGCUGUGGCCCGUGGGAGGAUGAUGUCGUAAGCUCCUUCGGACUGGAAGGAAGAACAGGCGGUCUCACAGUCGGGGAUUGGGAGCCAGGUUCCGCCGGGGCGGAUGCACAAACACUUCCUGCAGGGCUAGGACUGCCAGAUCCCCCCCAACUCCCCCCUCGGCUCCUCUGCCCCCUCUGGCUGGGCCCCAGGAGCAGCCCGGGACAGCCAGACCUGAGCCCCUUAUCUCACCCUGCCUCUGGGCAUGGGAACGAGGCCCUUGCUGACCUUGGAUGGUGCUGGGGCUUCACAGAGGGGGAUCCCCUUCUCAAGACCCUCCUGCUUCCAAUUGUUUAGGGAAAUGCUAGGGCCAGUGGAGAGUCAGCCACACAGAGCUGCUACUACCUGUCUGACAUAGCUCCCAGACCCCCUUCCUCCAAGAAUCUUUUUUUUUUUUUUGNNNNNNNNNNNNNNNNNNNNNNNNNNNNNNNNNNNNNNNNNNNNNNGCGAUCUCGGCAAACUGCAAACUCUGCCUCCCGGGUUCACGCCAUUCUCCUGCCUCAGCCUCCCGAGUAGCUGGGACUACAGGAGCCCGCCACCGUGCCCGGCUAAUUUUUUGUAUUUUUAUUAGAGACGGGGUUUCAUCAUGUUAGCCAGGAUGGUCUCAAUCUCCUGACCUCGUGAUCCACCCGCCUCGGCUUCCCAAAGUGCCGGGAUUAUAGGCGUGAGCCACCAUGCCCGGCUCCUCCAAGAAUAUUACCCCAAGUCUACCGCCUGUCACUACCAUACCCCCAGCAUCACAGUUGCUGGCUUCCCUGGCCGAGGACAUGGCACUCUGGGUGUGCCCACACAUCUCUCUAGGCAUCUAGUCUGGCCAAUCUGAUUUGGAGUCUUUUUUUACGAUGCUUCUAGUUUCCAGAACCCAGGGGGAGGUGUAAGGUCGAGACUUGCUGCCUGCCAGAGAGGGAGGAGAGUGUGGGCCCCCUUGGCACAGCUGUGGUUGAGAAGUAAACACCUAUCCAGACCUGUGACAUUUGGACCCCUGUGCAUUUUGGGAGCACCUGGCUGAGACCCUCCUUUGUCCCUCCCCAAGCUCUCCAGGGUAAAGCUGGCAGCUCCCACCAGGGAGAGCUCACCCAGCAUUCCCUGUAGCAUCCCG